GCUUCCUUAGUUCAGUGGUUAAAGGAUUGACACAGACAUAAGAGACAUGGGUUCAAUUCCCACAGGAAACA